GAGUUUGAUCGUGGCUCAGGAUGAACGCUGGCGGCGUGCCUAAUACAUGCAAGUCGAGCGAACAGACGAGGAGCUUGCUCCUCUGACGUUAGCGGCGGACGGGUGAGUAACACGUGGAUAACCUACCUAUAAGACUGGGAUAACUUUUCGGGAAACCGGAGCUAAUACCGGAUAAUAUAUUGAAUCGCAUGGUUCAAUAGUGAAAGACGGUUUGCUGUCACUUAUAGAUGGAUCCGCGCCGCAUUAGCUAGUUGGUAAGGUAACGGCUUACCAAGGCAACGAUGCGUAGCCGACCUGAGAGGGUGAUCGGCCACACUGGAACUGAGACACGGUCCAGACUCCUACGGGAGGCGAGCAGUAGGGAAUCUUCCGCAAUGGGCGAAAGCCUGACGGAGCAACGCCGCCGUGAGUGAUGAAGGUCUUCGGAUCGUAAAACUCUGUUAUUAGGGAAGACAAUGUGUAAGUAACUAUGCACGUCUUGACGGUACCUAAUCAGAAGCCACGGCUAACUACGU
rnacentral:rRNA from 1 species